rnacentral:rRNA from 1 species
AUUGAACGCUGGCGGCAGGCCUAACACAUGCAAGUCGAGCGGUAGAGAGAAGCUUGCUUCUCUUGAGAGCGGCGGACGGGUGAGUAAUGCCUAGGAAUCUGCCUGGUAGUGGGGGAUAACGUUCGGAAACGGACGCUAAUACCGCAUACGUCCUACGGGAGAAAGCAGGGGACCUUCGGGCCUUGCGCUAUCAGAUGAGCCUAGGUCGGAUUAGCUAGUUGGUGAGGUAAUGGCUCACCAAGGCGACGAUCCGUAACUGGUCCGAGAGGAUGAUCAGUCACCCUGGAACUGAGACACGGUCCAGACUCCUACGGGAGGCAGCAGUGGGGAAUAUUGGACAAUGGGCGAAAGCCUGAUCCAGCCAUGCCGCGUGUGUGAAGAAGGUCUUCGGAUUGUAAAGCACUUUAAGUUGGGAGGAAGGGUUGUAGAUUAAUACUCUGUAAUUUUGACGUUACCGACAGAAUAAGCACCGGCUAACUCUGUGCCAGCCGCCGCCGUAA